rnacentral:rRNA from 1 species
UACGAAGGGGGCUAGCGUUGUUCGGAAUUACUGGGCGUAAAGCGCGCGUAGGUGGUCAUGUAAGUCCGCUGUGAAAGUCAAAGGCUCAACCUUUGAAAGCCGGUGGAUACUGCAUGACUAGAGUACGGAAGAGGCGAGUGGAAUUCCUGGUGUAGCGGUGGAAUGCGCAGAUAUCAGGAGGAACACCAAUAGCGAAGGCAGCUCGCUGGGACGUUACUGACACUGAGGCGCGAAAGCGUGGGGAGCGAACAGG